UACGUAGGGUGCAAGCGUUGUCCGGAAUCAUUAGGCGUAAAGAGCGUGUAGGCGGUUCGAUCAGUCUGCUGUGAAAGUCCAGGGCUCAACCCUGGGAUGCCGGUGGAUACUGUCGAACUAGAGUCCGGAAGGGGCGAGUGGAAUUCCUGGUGUAGCGGUGAAAUGCGCAGAUAUCAGGAGGAACACCGAUGGCGAAGGCAGCUCGCUGGGACGGUACUGACGCUGAGACGCGAAAGCGUGGGGAGCAAACAGG
rnacentral:rRNA from 1 species